rnacentral:rRNA from 1 species
AACGCGAAGAACCUUACCAGGUCUUGACAUCCCUCUGAAUACGUUAGAGAUAGCGUAGGCCUUCGGGACAGAGGAGACAGGUGGUGCAUGGUUGUCGUCAGCUCGUGUCGUGAGAUGUUGGGUUAAGUCCCGCAACGAGCGCAACCCUUGAAUUCAGUUGCCAGCACUUCGGGUGGGCACUCUGAAUUGACUGCCGGUGACAAACCGGAGGAAGGUGGGGAUGACGUCAAAUCAUCAUGCCCCUUAUGACCUGGGCUACACACGUACUACAAUGGUCGGUACAACGGGAAGCGAAGCCGCGAGGUGGAGCCAAUCCUAGAAAAGCCGGUCUCAGUUCGGAUUGCAGGCUGCAACUCGCCUGCAUGAAGUCGGAAUUGCUAGUAAUCGCGGAUCAGCAUGCCGCGGUGAAUACGUUCCCGGGCCUUGUACACACCGUAGUAC